AGGGCUGCACCCGCGGCAUAUGGAGGUUCCCAGGCUAGGGGGCUAAUUGGAGCUACAGCUGCCGGCCUAUGCUACAGUCACAGAAAUGCCAGAUCCGAGCCAUGUCUGCGACCUAUACCACAGCUCACGGAAACACCAGAUCCUUAACUCACUGAGCAAGGUCAAGGAUCGAACCCACAACCUCAUGGUUUCUAGUCAGAUUUGUUUCUGCUGCACCACAAUGGGAACUCCCUCAUGUUGUAAUUUUAAUGUCAAGUAUACUGGCACUGAUUCUGAAACAAAAUAUCUUGGGUUUGAAUCACAACCCUACUAGAUAGAUGUUAGCUAUGUUAUCUUGAGUGAAUUAAUUUACCUCUCUGUGCUUCUAUUCCAAUUGAUUCUCAUGGGGAUCCUUCAUAGUACAGAGCAGUAUGCAGGUGACCCCGGCCUGACAAUAAUUGUGCCACAGCCCCUGGCCAUGUUGCUUGGUCCUGGAGGAAGACAUAUUACCUGAGCCAGGGAAGUCAGAACCUUUACCAAAGUGAAGAGCAAGGUCACCUUUCCCUCUGGAACUGCUGAACAUGCCACAACCUCACCUCCACCCUCCACCCCAAUGAUACAGAGGAAGUUUCUGCACUGAAGUCAGAACAUGAGCAUAAUCCAGAGAAGAGCUAAAAUGAGAGAUGAAGAGAAAGAGGCAGAGUCCAGAUAACAUUGUUAGAGCCUAGCUCUACUUUCCCCUGAGCCACACUACAUGCUAUUCUUGGCUUCAGUUAGAUUAAAAUGGGUUUCAUUUGCUUACAAAGAAUAGUACUACUUAACUCUACAGCUGAUGACAAGCUGAUUAUAAACUAUUGUUUUUAUUAUCUAAUCGACAUAGUAGUUAAAUCCUUCCAUCAGUGUCUGAGCUUUGAACACCCGUUCUCCAAACUUGGAACAGCAGGUGGAGUGCAAGGGACAUGGACUAAGCAGAAGGAAGUGGACAUUUGUAAUUAAACCAUAUAAAAAUAGGUCUCUAGCAUUAUUCCUGGACACAUAAAAUCACAUUAAUCAACUAGUACUGUGCCUGAUACAUAGUCAAUGUUCAAUAAAGCUUUGUUUUCCCUGAGAAAAAAUUUUGAAGGUAAUGUGAACAAGGACAUGUAUAUGUACACAAAUUUUAUACAUACAGAUGUAUUAUUUUCAGUAAUCUCUACUUGGUUUGAAACUUCAAGGUUUGAGUUUGAUCAUAAGGAAAGUAGACCUCUUUUCUGGUCUUUUAAAAUUGAAGACAUUACUGAAAUUCUUUAUAAUUUUGGAAUGUGUUGGUGUAUAUAUCUGGCUUGAGUACCAUGUACUACUUUUGCAUUAUAAUUUUACUUUACCACUUUCCUAAUACCUACUCUUUUAAGAUGAUAUAGACUAUACUUAAUCCCUUAUAAUUGUGCCAUAUCGGUAUAUUAAAAAAUUCAUGGAUAUAGUCGAGACAGGGUGGGGUAAACAGAGAAAGAGAGAGAAAAAGAGAGGGAGAGAGAAUACUAUGAAAUAAAAUUGAAAUUGAGGACUUUGAAAAUCCAAUGUUUAUUUAAAAGUUCAAGGUAGAAAAUUCUCACAAACUAAUCACUCCAUCCCCAUAGCAAGCGAUUUUUGACACCUCAAAGAAGAUAUCCCAAGAUAAAAAUUGGAUUGAAAAUCAGGAAUCACAUAAUUUUACACCUGAAUCUGACAUUGACCAAUAGAAUGAAUGCUUUCAGAGGAAUCAUAUUUGGACUUGGUUUCUCUGACAGCUUUGGACUAUCAUAUUCCCUAUGCGUUAACACAUGAACUCUUUAUAAGAAUUCAGAGAUUCUCAUCAAGGCCGAGCCAUACUAAACAAUUAGAUGAAUUUCCUUUGUGUCUUUCCAACUUCAUUAUAAGCACUCCUCUUCUACCACAUGAAUUUCCCUUUUCUCCUUCCAAUCGGGUGUCAAAAGGCAAAGUGAGGCAUAUUAAAAAUUGAAAAGUUUAUUGGAGCAAAAUUCAAUUAGAAUUGGGCAGCCUCCAAUGUAACAGAGAAAAAGAAGUUCUGAGGAGCUGGGGGAAAAAAAAAAAAAAGACUUUUGUAGGAGGCAGAGGAGAGAGCAAAAACAAGGAAGUUAUUCCAGGAAAAAAAAAAAAAAAAAGACUUUUGGGUCUAUCCGGCGGAUUAUUUAACUAGUGCUGGUCAGGAGAUUCCUGACUGGUUUAAGAUUCCACUUCUGGGAGAACAAACCUAUAAUUAAGUCUUUAUUUGGUGACGUGAAGCUUAGCAUAAGUGACUCUGUUUGGGGCCUGUUGCCUUGUUGUUUAACGCAGGUUAGCCCUUAGGAGGGACCCUUGUAUAGGUUUUUUCCUCACUCGCAUGCUCCAGGGCAUAUGUGAUGCACGCUAUCUCUUGGUUACACUGCACUUCUCUUUGCAGACUCCACCCAGGAAUGAAGAAAUUUUUUCAGGCGACAGGCUAACAGUUGCCACCCUUCCAAAAAAAAAUUUCUAUUUUAGUAGGAGUGUUUUACCAUCAUUCCAAGGCCCACCACUCAUACGCUUUGGGACUCUACCACAGGGAGACUUCAGGUUAGUUAGGGGAAUAAAUGGGGAACCUGGAAUAAUAAUGAUAAUUUAUGUUUAUCUAUAGCCUAGCCAACUGUCAUUAGACAUGAAUUUUUAGUCAAUGACAAAUCAUAAUGAAACUUAAAAUCUUGAUGGAGCAUUUCAUGAAUAUCCCCAGCCUAUUAACUUUUCCAUCAAUUUUAUUGUCAUUUUAUAGGCUGGAAGUUGGACUUGUCUGGGACGUGUUUUCUCCCCCCUUUUUUGUGUGUGGGGGGCACAUUUACGUGAGUAGAGGGAAGUUGUGGUUCCAUUGGGCAUGGCUGCAUUUCAGAAAUGUUUCUAUAACUGGAGGGAGAAUAUGCCUGCAGGUAUUUCAGGCCAUAGCUCUCUGAAAGUUCCUCCCACAUGGCUUGCUUUAGCUCUUGCUUUCAUUUUGUAUUAAACAAAAAGUCAUUUGAGGGCUAUUUAAUGCUCUGGUUUGUGUGUUCCAAUACCAGAUAAAAGUUAAACAGAUGAACCAUUUGGGGGGUAAGAAUUGGGAAAUCCACGGCUGCUAAAAUGCUUUAAAGUUUCAAAAUGGUUUUGUUUUUUUAAACCCAUUUUCCAUGUUCCAGCAGCUGUGGGUUUUCCCAGGGCUCCCCCUGUGGCUCAAAAGGGAGCUGCUUAAUGCUUAACAGAUGAGCCAAUUGAGUUUUUAAAUGCAAAAUUAAACUUAAAGUGCACAAAGAGCACAGGGGAAUCCACCGCCCAGAAUAGGUUGAAGGAGGAGCAUGGGCUGUGAGCACUGGGUUGUGGAGAGACACAGCCUCUUUUACUUCAUCCAGAGGCCAAUGCAAGGAGGGUACAGACACAUUUACCUUUUCAUCAGCCCCUCAAACAGGCUGGAAUUAUAUGCCAUAUUGCCAAUUUUUUUUCGUAACUACUUUCUCUAGAUUUAUUUAUAUAUGUCUAUUUUUCUUUAAGAACAGAAAAAAGAGGGGAAAAAAGAGAUAGGUGGUUGUGUUCUCUAGACUAUAAGGUCAUGUCUGUUUGAUCUCCAUCUGGUUUGUUCUCUCAAUGACGGUGAGAGAAAUUUUUUUUUCCCUCAGAUACCUAGGUACUUUACCUCCUGUGCCCCAGACACUCCGUGGCUCAUCUAGAUUCUCAGAACAUUCUGCUGUGGAUAGGAAGAGCCAGGACAAUUACAGACUUUGGAAAAAAUUUUUUGCCAACUUUGAUAAAAUCUUUGAUGCAAGACAAAUCAUCUUAACAACAACAACAACAAAAAAAAUCUCUUUUUUUUUUUUAAGGCUAUGGAAGUUCCCAGGCUAGAGGUCAAAUUGGAGCUCCACCUGCCGGCCUAUGCCACAUCCACAGCAACUCAGGAUCCAAGCCGCAUUUUCAGUGUAAGCCACAACGUGCAGCAAUACUGGAUCUAUAACACACUGAGCAAGGCCAGGGAUCGAACCCACAUCCUCAUGGAUACUGGUUGGGUUCUUAACCCACUGAGCCACAACAGGAAGUCCAAUCUGCCUAUUAUUUGUGUAAGUGCUUUUAUUUAAGAGGCUUCUAACAUCAUCAAGACCCAAGUCCAUGGGUGUACUUUCACUGAAGGUGAUAAAACCAACUGAUGAAUUCCAAAUUGUGGAAAUCUUUUUCAGAGUCAGUCUCAUGAUUUCAACAAGUUUUUCAUAGCAGUAUGUACAUUGGCAUUCCAGGAUAGGAUAUAGCCCCAGUGAGGCUCAUCAGACCACAUAACCUCCCAGAUUUCUGGCCAAUAUAUAUGGGAAGCAUGAAAUCCUUAGCAUCGUUGGGAGGUAUGUUACCUGUUGUCUAGUGCAUUUUAAUUUCAUUUAAGGAGUAUUUAGGAUAAUCUUUAAAAAGUGCGAAGAAAUUACAAACACAUUGGAAAACUUAUAUUGCUCAGAUCUUGUAUUCAUACCCAGUUUUUAAGUGGGAAAAACAUUUAAAAUCUGUUAGUGACUCAUUUUUGAAAAAAUCAUUCCAGUUGAUAGUAACCAAAAAAAUUUGUUAUGCUGGCAAAAACUUCCAAAUAGGAUACAAAGAAGAAGAUGCUAGAAAGCUUCAGGUUCACACUUGAUAUAUCACCAAGUCUAGCACUGACUUGUGACAAUAGACCUAAAACGACACAGGAAUUUACACAUGUAUGUGUACACACACAUACUUACACACACACACAUCUUUCAAACCUUCUCUACAGCUGCUAUUCAAUUACAAAUUACAUUCCUUAAGGAUUUUUGCCUCCCUCCAAUUCUCAAGUAACUAUUUUAAGAUUUUGAGAGCUAUCAUGGCCAUUCCUAGUUCCUGCCAAAACAAACAAAACAAACAAAAAACAACCAACUAUACAAUAGGCCAUGAUUAUUUGGUCUCGAUCUUCAUUCUAAAACUUGCCAACUCUUGUUUAGUGGAACAAUCAUUUUACCUCCAUCAUUUAAAAGUAAAAGGUGGAUUGUGAAAUGGCUACUUCUAAAAAAUAGACUGAGAGUGACUAUUCCUACUCUGCAUUUGCGUAUUCAGAGAUUUGUCCCUCUUAGGUAAUCAAAUCUACUUGAGUCAUUGACUACAUCCAGCCUUGUCAGUUUGCCUGAAGGAAAGAUACUGAUGAGGUUGGGCUCCUGAGAAAGCAAUCAUAUGGUUAAUUGCUUUAGUGUGAACCUAGCCAUUGUGAUUAAAGCCUAGGACUUGUGUUUAGGUAGAGCAGAGUUUCCAUGCUUCAAGGCAUUCCUUGGCAGAACUCGUCUUCUCCAGGCUUUGAGAAAAUGUGCAUCAGCGUAUUUCCCUGAGGAGUGACAGUGUUUGGAGGCUCAUUCAAUCAUUGGACCAUAUUCAAAGAAACUGGAUUAAUUUGAAUAUAUAAUCACUGGAUCGCAUAUUCAUAUAUUUGUUACCUCUUUGAAAGGUGAUCAUCAGAAUGCAGAUUUAAAUAAACAAGAAUAUGUCAAAACUUAACAUAUUAUCACUUUGAAUCUAAUGUGAAUUCUGCUCACCCCAAAAGAAUCUUAUACCUGUUAUCAAAUGAUUGCACAUGCCUAGACACUGCUACUGGUGUGCUUUUCAUGGACAUAAAUUAAAAGACAAUGUGCUUUGCUUUUUAAAAUAAUGCUAUGGCUUAUCUUUUCAGAAUUCCAAUUUUAGUAGUUUCUUAUAGAAUGUGAUUAGCACUAUUUAGGCCACAUUUUUAUAUAUCUAUACACACACCAACAUAUACACAUUGUGUGUAUAUGUGAAUGCAUAUGUAGAUUAAAUUUAAUGUACGUAACAUUUCAAAACUUUUGUUUAAUCUUUCUCUCCUUUCACAAAAUUAUAUAGAAUCAAAUUAUUUUUUUUUCUCUUCAUAGAAAUGUUAGCUUCAGAGGUCACUUUUUGUAGAGAAAUUUUAAAUCAUUAAGCAAAUAGAAUACAAGCCUUUUUUUUUUUUAAUUACCCAAUAUACUUCUGGGGCUUUUGCAAGUAGAGGUUUAUGUGCAUCGAUGCAUUAAAAACAACAGCAACAAAAAACAUCUAUCCCUGUUCUAGUAAUUCAAAUCCAACACCAUUCUGAGUGGAUUUUUAAUUUACUCAUGGGAGUCACAUGGGGGUAAUUGAUGAUGACUUCAAAUUACUUUCAUCUUAUUUAUCUUAAAAUCUAUUCCCUAAUCUGUUACUACAUUAUGGACAAUAACAUCAUUCUAUCAAUUGUAAAAACAAUGGAGUUUUACUAAUUUAACUGUAUUUAUUGCUCCACUAUAACCUCAUAAAAAGUGAUUCCCAUGUCUAUAAGAUAUUUUAGAAACCCUCCUUUCUCAGAAAGAGAGGCGGUUAUUAUUAAGACUUACCAUUUUAAGAAAUGUUAACAAAAAAGGGGACAUAUUAUGGUAUAGCUCUCAGCAUUUUGCAUUGUUCUCCAAACAGUUGCCUUCAUUUUCAGGGUGGAUCUCUGAAUGUUAAUAGGGGAUGCAUCACAGGCAGAAG
rnacentral:lncRNA from 1 species